UACGUAGGUGGCAAGCGUUGUCCGGAUUUACUGGGCGUAAAGAGCGCGCAGGCGGUCGUUCAAGUCGCGUGUGAAAGCCCCCGGCUCAACUGGGGAGGGUCACGCGAUACUGAUCGACUCGAAGGCAGGAGAGGGAAGUGGAAUUCCCGGUGUAGUGGUGAAAUGCGCAGAUAUCGGGAGGAGCACCGGUGGCGAAGGCAAUCCCCUGGGCCUGCACUGACGCUCAUGCACGAAAGCGUGGGGAGCAAACAGG
rnacentral:rRNA from 1 species